rnacentral:pre_miRNA from 1 species
ACAACAACAUUCGGACCGUCGGUCUACCGUGCAAAUAUCACCCGCUCGGUGGAAGAUCUUCCCUUUGUCGUUCAGC